rnacentral:rRNA from 1 species
GGCGAACGGGUGAGUAACACGUGGGCAAUCUGCCCUUCACUCUGGGACAAGCCCUGGAAACGGGGUCUAAUACCGGAUAACACUCCUGCCUGCAUGGGCGGGGGUUAAAAGCUCCGGCGGUGAAGGAUGAGCCCGCGGCCUAUCAGCUUGUUGGUGGGGUAAUGGCCCACCAAGGCGACGACGGGUAGCCGGCCUGAGAGGGCGACCGGCCACACUGGGACUGAGACACGGCCCAGACUCCUACGGGAGGCAGCAGUGGGGAAUAUUGCACAAUGGGCGAAAGCCUGAUGCAGCGACGCCGCGUGAGGGAUGACGGCCUUCGGGUUGUAAACCUCUUUCAGCAGGGAAGAAGCGAAAGUGACGGUACCUGCAGAAGAAGCGCCGGCUAACUACGUGCCAGCAGCCGCGGUAAUACGUAGGGCGCAAGCGUUGUCCGGAAUUAUUGGGCGUAAAGAGCUCGUAGGCGGCUUGUCACGUCGGAUGUGAAAGCCCGAGGCUUAACCUCGGGUCUGCAUUCGAUACGGGCUAGCUAGAGUGUGGUAGGGGAGAUCGGAAUUCCUGGUGUAGCGGUGAAAUGCGCAGAUAUCAGGAGGAACACCGGUGGCGAAGGCGGAUCUCUGGGCCAUUACUGACGCUGAGGAGCGAAAGCGUGGGGAGCGAACAGGAUUAGAUACCCUGGUAGUCCACGCCGUAAACGUUGGGAACUAGGUGUUGGCGACAUUCCACGUCGUCGGUGCCGCAGCUAACGCAUUAAGUUCCCCGCCUGGGGAGUACGGCCGCAAGGCUA